rnacentral:rRNA from 1 species
GACUACUAGGGUAUCUAAUCCUGUUCGCUCCCCAUGCUUUCGCUUCUCAGCGUCAGUUAUGGCCCAGAGACCUGCCUUCGCCAUCGGUGUUCCUCCUGAUAUCUGCGCAUUCCACCGCUACACCAGGAAUUCCGGUCUCCCCUACCAUACUCUAGUCUGCCCGUACCCACAGCAAGUCCGAGGUUGAGCCUCGGAUUUUCACUGCAGACGCGACAAACCGCCUACAAGCUCUUUACGCCCAAUAAUUCCGGACAACGCUCGCACCCUACGUAUUACCGCGGCUGCUGGCACGUAGUUAGCCGGUGCUUCUUCUGCAGGUACCGUCACUUUCGCUUCUUCCCUGCUGAAAGAGGUUUACAACCCGAAGGCCGUCAUCCCUCACGCGGCGUCGCUGCAUCAGGCUUUCGCCCAUUGUGCAAUAUUCCCCACUGCAGCCUCCCGUAGG